UUUGUUUUUAUGUGGCCAUAAUGAUAACUUGCAGGAUAGAUAAGGAGAAGCAAGUUGAUUAGGAAAAGGGUGUGAGUAGAUGAAGGAGGGUAGAAAAAAUAUGGAUGAAAGCUUUCCUUCCCUAUUUUCUAUCCAAAGUAAGUAUCAAUAUUAAUUAUUUUGCAGGGAACCAGAAAAAAUCAAUGGCUGAUAUCAGAAUCUUUUCUGGCAGCAUGAUAAGCAGAUACAUGCAUGUAUGUAGUGUGUGUAUACACGUAUAUGAUAUGUGUAUGUGUGUGGAUAUGCACACACACAGAGAUUGAGCCUCUCUUCCCUCAUUCCCCAGGCUUUAUAUACAGUGCCACUAGGCAAGGGGUUAGGGAUUUACACUGUUCAUUUUUGGCAAUGGACAAUGGCAUACAGGUUGUAUGUGGGACUAGAAAAGCUGCCUUAAGAUGCUGUGAUUCUGGGCUGUGUUUCAGAGGUCAGAACCACUAGUAAGAUUCUGCAGAGCAGCAACCUUUACUGAGAAGGGCCAGCAGGGGGAGCCACUAAACUGAGAAAAUGAAAAGCUGCCUGGAGCUUCAGAAAGCUGCUUGAGUAUUUAAUCAGUGGCUCUGCUGAAUUAAAAGAGAUGGUGUUUCCAAAAUAUUGUGCAGAGUUUUCAACAUGGCAAGGGUUCAGAUGGGAAGGAACCGAAAUAAAUAAAGGACAGCUCUUUGAUUUCUACUUAAAGUGAAUUCAAUUCAUCUGCUAGAAGGUAAAGGUCUGGCUUGGGGCGCUUAGCUGCCCAUGGAAUCAUCUGGGAGGCAUAAAAACAAACAAACAAACAAAAAACACGUUAAAAAACACAGUAAGGACUGGGACCCACCCCAAUGAUUCUGAUUUAACUGGCUGGCACUGUAGCCUAGGUAUGAGGAAUUUUCUAAAGCUCCCUGGUGAUUCUAAUGUCAGCAAGGGUUGGAACUGACUGGUCCAAUCUAACCAGGCCAUCUCUCACAGGCCCUCGGUUGUUAGAUGGUUUACAGAUUUUUUUUUUUUUUUAAGUCUUCUGCCUGGAUCCAAAGGGCCACACAAGAUUUUCAGCAGAUAAAUGAACAGAAUAAGCAGCUGGUUGUCAGACAAAUUAGAGGAGAACUAAAAAAAUAAAUUUGACACUAUUCCAGAAAACGCUCUUCACUGGAGCAUUCUGCAUGGAGAGCAGCUCAUUUAAAAUAUAUUUUCCUCUAACUAAAUUUUCAUUCUUCCCCCUCCUCCUUCUCUCCUACUGUUUCUAUUCCCUGUCUCCCUAAACCCUGACUCCCUCAUGGAUUUCACUCUCAUCUCAACUGCUUUUCCCUUCUUUUCACUGAGUGAUGUUACCGUUGACAAGGCUUCAGCCUGUCAGUCCCCAGCUGUGCACUGUGGGAGCCCCAGUGAAGGAAGUAUACGUGCACGCCGGUCAGGACCCCGCGGGUGGAGGCUGCAGAGGCUGGAGGAGGGCAAUAUUGCCAAGCAGAUGCAACGCAGUGAGGCUGACUGAAGAAGCAGUGGCAUGAAAUGUGGAAAAAUGAACCCAGGGAGAGGGACCCGGAGGCAGGAGCCCAGAUGCUGGAGCCUUGCUACUCAAAACAUGGUCCAUGAACGAGCAGCAUCAGCACCUGCAGAAAGCAGCUCAGGCUCCACUCGCGACCUGACGAAUCAGAAUCGGUAACUCAACAAGAACCAUGGGUGAAAUGUGAGAAACGCUGCUUUAAAGAGUACGUUCUACCUGGAUUUUUCAACCUAAAAGGCACAAGCAGUAGAGAGGAAAUUCUGGUCACAGGUACACCUUCAUCCAGAGCACCUAGACUCAUCCUGUCCAUUUAUAAUCUCAUCAGGAGUGUGAGAGUGCUCGUUCAGUUUUGCCAGGAGUAGGAAUGAUCCUUUUGAAAAAUUUUCCCUGAAUGAUUAUAAGUGUUGUGGAAGCUCUGAAAAUCAGCUGUCUGGGAACACCACCACCACCACCGUGACCAACAAAAAUCAAACCGGAAGUUUAGCCCCCAACAAUAUAGGAAGCAGAUUCAUGGAACAGAUGCACUUGUUAUGAAAACAGUAAAUCAUGUGUACUGAUAAAUGAAUGAGACUUGAUAAGGACAUCAUAUCCUACUGUGUGAGAAGGUGGUGCUGUAAUGUGAAAAAUACAAUCUCAUGAAGUACGUUGUGUCCUCAAAAGGACAAGGGGAUCAAUAAAAAACACAGUUCGCAUACUCCCAGCAAAAAACCGGGUGUUAGCACUUCUGAAGGAUUUGGUUGUUUCAUGAGAUGAAAAAUGUCUACUUCGAGGCCUUAAAAUAUUGAUGCCCUAAAGAGUUCUUCCCUACUGCCACACAGCAUCCGUCUUAGAACAGAUCAUGGUGAGAGGCUCCAGAGGCCAAGGGAAUAAGUUAAGGGGAUGCUGCUUCUCACUGUGCAGGAAAUAAUUCUUCUUAGGAGGCCAUAUAUCAGUCCAGAAAAAGCUGACAAGCUUUUUAAAAAAUACAACAGAAACAAACUAAAAGCGAUUCAUUCCUGUCAUCUUCUUUACAUCUUGAACUCAAAUUAAAAAAAAAAUUGCCAAUAAAAAUAUACAAGUCUGUGUGUCUUAUAGUAACUAGGUAUCCAUAUCUGCAUGUGUAUAAAUUCCAGUGUAAUCCCCAGAGAUCUCCUAUGACAUAAGUAAUGGUAACAUGUUUGCCUCUGGAGAGUGAAACCUGGUGCUGGGGUACCAGGGUAAGAGAUGUGGUUAUAUUUUUUCCAUUAUGUACUGUUUGAGCUUUAAAAAAAUUAUGCAUGUUUUAAUUGUUUUUUAAAAAUUCAUGAUAACUAUGUAAAUAAAUAGAUAUAAAAUGUAUUGGGACAUUUGGUGACAUCUGUACACAUUUUUUUGUAGUCACAAUUGGGGGAGGGCUCAUCACUGGUAGUUAGCAGAUGGAGACCAAGUCUGCUGUUAAACAGCCUACAAUGCAGAGGACAGCCCCCUAAAACCAAGAAUAUCCAGCUCAAAAGGUCAACAGUGCUGCUGUUGAGAAAACUCUAAAUGAUGGACCCUUACAUACAGAACAUAAACACUCAGAGUAUGAAUUAUAUAAACAACUACUACAGUGGACUCUUGGCUCCUUAACACUCCAGACAGAGUAUAUCAUCCGAAGAGACAGGACAUGGAGUUGAUCUACAGACCCAACACCUCCCACUCUCAAGCAGUUUCCUGCCUGCUUGGGGAGAAGCAGUUUUCAUCAGUGGCUCUUGGCAGGGGAAGCAGUAACAGCAAGAUCUGGACCCUUCCUGUUGCGUCAAGCACCUUGGAGAGAUGACCAUAAGGUCCUCUCUUCAUGGGCCUGUGUGGGUGGGAGAGGGCAAUCAGGAGCUGCAUUGUUCCAAUUAUUCUUGUUUAAACAAGUCUGGUUAAAAGCCAUUCACACACUACAUCUCAAAUACAGAACUAGCAGCUGUAUUCAAACUUUGUAUUAUAAUCCGGUCGCACCAUCCAAUUGGUUAUUUGAGACCACAGGCUUCAAUUAAUUUAGGGGACAGUAUGGUGAUCAAAGGAGAAAAGUUUCUUACAAAUCAGCAUUUGUUUAGAGGGUCUUGUGUCCUUCCAAAGAUUCCUUGUCAAGGCAACACACAAAACUUCAAAUAAUGAAGUACUUCAUGGCUUUUGCACUGAUGACAACAUAAAGGAAGAAUGACUCUUGCCUCCUUGAACCAUAUCAUCUAUUUAGCUUAAUUUCAACUUGUUCUGAUAUUAUGCUUUCCUUUUUUUAGUCAGUGAUAUUUUUAUCCGUGUUUAAUUUUGCAUUAUACUGUAUUAUAACAAAAUCAUAAAAUGUUUGAGCUAAAAGGGAUCUUAAAAAUCACCUAACAAAAUCCUCACAUUUUAUAGAUAAUAAAAAUAGCUACUCAGAUACACAUUUCUCUGUAGUCGGUAUUGUUCUAAGUGAUUUCCUUCUAUUAAUUCCUUUAAUCCUCAAAACCAUCUGAUGAUGUAGACAUCACUACAGUCACUCCCAUUUUACUGAUGAGGAAAUGGAGACACAGAGAGAUUAAGUAUGCCACAUGUUCUGGCAGAAAGAAUUCUAAGAUGACCUUCAAUUAAUCAUGCCCUUGUAUAAACCUCUCUGACAGAAUGCAGGCAGAAACUGUGACUUGCUUCUAGUCCACGGUAUGUGACAAUGGAGAUGGGAGGAAAGUCAUUCUCAUGGUUAUGUUAUGUUAUGUUAUGUUAUGUUAUGUUAUGUUAUGUUAUGUAAGACUAUCCUGGUAGACUGGAGAGAGAGUAGACUGGAGAGAGAUUCUCCCACUGGCCUUGAAGAAGCAAGCUGCCAUGUUGUGAGAGGAACUACAAGGAAACCACAAGGCAAGGAACUAUGGGGGGGGGGCUCUACUACCAGAGAGCAGCCCCUGGCUCACAGCAAGAAAGUGAGGACAUCUUUCCUACCACCAUAAGGAACUGAGUUCUGCCAACUAUCACAUGGAAUUGAAAGAAGAUCCCAAGCUCCAGAAAGGAAUACAGUCUGAGCCAACACCCAGACUCCAGCCUUGUGAAACCAUGAUCAGAGCUAAGCGUGCCUGGAUUCCUGCCCCACACAAACUGUGAGGUAACAGAUAUAUGUAGUUUGAAGGCACUAAGUUUGUGGGAAUUUGUUAUGCAGCCAUGGAAAAAUGAUAGACAUGUCCAGGGUCACAAAGCAAAUAAAAGCAAGAGCAGAAUUCAAA